CCCUGACCCAUGAUUUUUACGGCCCCGAAGGGUCCGUAUUAAAAUAUGGGACUUGGGCAUAUGCUCAGAAUCGAAUUCCGAGGUCCCUAGAAGACCUGCCGUCCACACUCAAGCUACCACCGAGAAAGGCUUACGGGAAAAUUCAAGAAAUUUGUUCAGCCCUAAAAGACAUGCCGUCCCUAGAGAGAUCUUAUUGAGGCAUCUCCAGUUAAGUCUCAUCUCCUUUACACUAGAGUUUGAUAGUCAUGAGACAAGACGAACGUCUGAAAUAAAAGAAAAAAAAGAAAAAACUCGACAUGUAUUAAUGCUGGAACACUUGCCUCUUUGGCAUACCAAAAAAAGUUAUCGCUGACCAGAAAAAUAAAGGUUACAGCUAGUUGUAUACGGUCAAGUGAAGAGCGUGAGCAUCUUCAAAAUUUAGUUGAAGACCAUUAGAUACUAACUGAAACAACCACCCUGCAGCAGAAAUAUUAGAGGAGCAAAUGCAAUUGAAUUCAACUGUUGAUGGACAAGAACAAUGUGAACA